GCCAGUCACAAUUCCCUCAGAACUCUCUCACCCUCUCUCAGUCCCAUCUACCUCACAAGGUGUCUGUUACGGGGAGGGGAUGGGAGGGUAAUUAUAAGCUGCUUUGAGUCUACUUAAAGGUAUAGGAAAGCGAGGUAUAAAAAAACAAAUCUUCUGAUAUUCCCCUCAGUGUUUUUGCUUUUCUUAUAUUUCCUCUUCCAACAAAAGUGCUUUUGAAAAUUUGACUCAUAUGUGUUUUGGGAAUCAAAAAGAAUAAGGUAUGUUGACCUUCAUAUAUUCCUCAUAGUCUCCUUCAGUAUAAUGAGGCUGUCUCCAUGCUAGGUCAAAAAAAAUCAAUGCAUCUUUUCUUGUGAUGAAAAAGUAACAUUUCAUCAAAUCUGACAUUCUUCAGCAGAAGUAUUUUUAAAGGCAAAUGAAUUGUCCUUUAACUUAGAAGGAUAAUAUAGUCCACCUUUAAAAACUGAAAUAUCUUUUCAAACCUUGUAACUUUGUGGAGCAAAAUUUUUUAAAAAUCCCGACAUAACAGGAGGGCAUUUCAGUUCUAAACAGUGUAAAUUUUCUUUCCUGUGUCACAAGCAACUCCUUCAGAUUCUCAGUUCAUAACUUAGAAUAACUUUUAAAGAAACAGCAUAAUCUCUAACAGUUUUCAGAUGAAAACAGGGACAAUGUUGUAUACCAUUCAUCUGUGUUUUUGCACCAAGGCGCAUCUUCCUUCUUCAGUAGCAGCACUACUUGGAGGUUCUUUUCCACUCAUCAUUCAUGUGGUGUAUUCAUUUGUUGUUAUAGCCGCUCCUCAGAGGUGGAAGAUCCCUGGUGUGUGCUGCCUGUAAUUCUCGGUUUAAAGUGCCACUUGGGGAGUUUUGCAUAAAAGCUCCAAAAGGUUGCCCUGGGACAUGGACAACUGGCUUACUUUCUCUCCCUUCCUUGUUUCUUCUUUGAUAAACUGUUCCAUCAAAUAUAUAAAUACCUUUGAAAACCUUAGUUUAAAAUUAGGAAGCUGCUGAAAAGUAAGCUCCCACACAGUGAUGCAAAUACCUCUGGAUCCACUUUCCAAGGCAGCUAUAUUCCUUGGUAGAGGAGUUUUUACUUUCUUAGUAGUCUCAUUCUAUUUACCCAUUCAAGGUUCCACUGGGAGACAUACAUUGCCUUUUAUCUGUGUCUGCCUCCAAGAAAGCAAGGAAACAAAACCUGCUGCUUUUAUGACUCAACUGGUUUCUGCCUGGUCCUAAACAUCAUCUUAUUUUAGACCCAACAGUUCCUAUCAUAGUUUUCCGGCCAAUGAAAUGCAAUGACAACUGAGCCUGUGCCAAAAUGUUGCCUUUAAUACUGAUAACCCCUAAAUAUGCCUUCACUAGAUUUACCUGCCUUAAUCCAGGAAAAAGCCUCCAAAAUAUGUAUUGAGGUUAAGCACAUUAUGAGAGUUGAAAUUGGGCUCGGUAUUUUGCAGGGCUUGAUCUUAAAGCCAAGUAGAAUCCAGCUGGUUACUUAGUGGUCUAUCCGUAUGCUGCUACAUUAGUUUAUCUGCUAUGGGACAGCAAGGAUUGCUUAUGGCUUGCUUGAUAUAAUCACAGCAUGGCUGUUGGUGACUUAAGUUUUCAGGCAGCUUUGCAAAUAAUGUUCCAAUUUAUAUUAACCUUCUUAUUUUUCAGGCUAUGCUGAGGCCUUUAUCAGUAGAAGAACACUGGCCAGUAUCCUAGUUCCUUGACAUUCUCUUAAAUUACUUUCAGCCAUGCACCAUUCUCAGCUAUUUUUCUGAAGUUUAUUUUCAUCUUCUUCUAAAGUAUUUUUUAAAGUCAGGCCUUGUUUCCACCUGUUAGAAACCAAAAGGCAAGCAUUUCAGCUCACUAACAAGAGCACGAAAGGAAAGAGAAAGAAUGCCUCCUUUCCUGGCUCUUAUUUUUUAAUGGACAUGCUGGCUCAGCAUUUCAAUUCAAUGUUUCUUGUGCUGUAAUAUUAAAAACAUUUUGUAUCUCCUGUCCAUGUUUAUCACAGCACCAAAAAUUAUUUAUUUUAGAAGUAAAUUUUCAAUACUUGAAAUUGGUUCUUAAAAAUUGAGGGUUUUAUUUUUAAAAUCUGUGAAUGUUUAUAAUUAAUAUUUAUUUUGGAACAGAUUUUCUAAAAAUAUAUUUUGCAUAUAUUAAGUUUAAGGUGACUUUGUUAAAGGGGAUUUAGUCCCUAUAUUCCCAAAACAUGUAUUCAAUUACAGGUUAAUUUCCUGUGGCAAAUCUUGAUUUUUGAUUAUGUAUGAAUAGCAUGCCUAAGCACAAGAUUUCUAUAACUAACUUUUACUAGGAGGAUGGUGUAAUUUAGGAAUUUCAGAUGGUGUGGCAUCUUAAACAUCUCGUCUUCUGAUUACUUAGCUCAGUCUGGCAAAAUUAAACUGCAGGCAGAAGCCGGCUUCUGUGGAAAGAUCCAUUUGGUGGAACACAUUCUAUUCCCAAACCAUGCAGCACGGAUUAAAAUACUAGUGCUUGUGGGCACAAUGGUCUGUGCAGGACUGGGUUUGAGGAACAUGUCUUUACUAAUAAAAAUCACUACUUGGGAGGGAAGAAGAAUGGAUCCCAACCUCCCAAAUAAGAAACUGGUGCUGACCAUCUAUUUGAUCAUCACACAUACCCGAAUAUUUCCAUGGAACCCAUUCUGGAUCACUGUUGCUUAACUUUGGCUCUUUUCCCACCCAAUUAAUCAAAUCCUCCCAUUUUAUUAUGAAUGUGGGCAGAUUUAGAAUGGUUUCCUGUGCUUAUCUGAUGUUUUUCCUCAAUUAAUAUGUGAAGCAUCAUUAAAUGGGGGCCAGUCCUUCAGGAACUUUAGAAGAUUUACAGCCUUACCUCUUAUAUGUGUUAUGUACUCAGUCUUGGUGAACUACAGUGGAAUCCCUUUUGGUAAUACAUUGAGAACAGGAUGAUUCAGGUAGAAUUUAUGUCGAAAGAAAUUCACACUACUGUUGGAACCAACUUUUUAUAGUUGAUGCCCACCAUUAAUAGAGAUGAGAAUCUGUCAUAAUGAAUUCUAUAAAUAUUAACUACCAUUAGGCAGUUUGGAAAUGUAUUUUAAACAUAGCCAAAAUGGUAGUCCCUGCUCUGUUUCUUGCAGUAUAGAAGAUUCUGUGGAAAGCCACAGACUGUAGACUGACUAUAAAACCAAACAAGAACAUGCCAAUUCUCAGGCUAGGAACAACCCCCCAGUUUAGAAAAAAAGAAAGAUGGAUCACUGGGAUUUUAUAGAAUGAAGCUGUUUGGUACAAAUAUUUGCAGAGGACAUGUUGGCAAGUAUGCUCAGUUCACCUUUUAAAUAGUUCACCUUUUAAGUAGACAUUUUUUACACUAAAUUUCAUGACUUGGAUGGGUUUGGAAACAGCAUCCUGGAUUAUACAACCUAUGGCCAGCUCUGCCAACGUUUGGCUUUUAAUCAGCUUGCCUCAGCACCAGCAGUCUCUAUAGUUCUUCUGUUAGUUUCCUUCCUCUCUCAUGUACUUAAAUUGCAGGUGGAAUGAGCAAAAGCUGAGAAGGGGGGAUCCAUCUUUCAAUUCCUCAGGUUCCCUAUGACACAUUGAAGUUUCUAGGGUGGGAUGGGCUGGCCAUCUAAUUUACAGGGAAAGUUCUCUGUGGACUAUUGCCCUGAAGGGCUGCUGGCAGCCCUGGAACAAACAAAGCUAUGGACCUGUAGCACCACUAAUGCUGCAAGGCUCACUUGGCUCAGACCUGGGCAGUGUGUGGGAAGGGGCAGCAGGUGAGCCAACACCCAUGGCUGGUUCUGCAGCCCAGAUAUGGCCUGAGUGGGCCCAGUUUGUGUCACUGCAGGAACAACUCAGCCUCACUUUCAGUUGAGCCAUGUGAACUUUCCAGUCUCUCUAGUUUUAUGCAUAUUUGGGAGUUUCUAUUGCUGCUGGCAACACUGUUAUUUUAUGUGUGUAAUAUAUUUAUAAAAUAUAUUGAGCCAGAAUAAAUUCAGUUACAAAACCUAGAACUCUUAGCAACUAUGGCUGUUCUUCCACAUGCUCCAAAUUCUCCCAGUUUGUUGCCAGUUGUUCUGGAAGCUUUAAGAUGAAUGUCAAACCCUCAAGGGGUCUGUAGAAGACCAACAGGGAUCUGCCCAAAUUUUCAUACAACUCCUGACCAUUCUCCACAUGUUCUCUGACAAAACACAGAAAAAAAUCAGGUCUAUUCUGAAUCAAAAUGGGGAAGGUGACAUUUGCCCAGUGCUAGUCCAGACUGGAUGAUGAAAAGCCACUGUGUCAGCUUACUAGAAUGAGCUUUGGAAAUUGUCCAGAAAUCAAAUCUGCGUGCUCUUGCACUGUUUCCAUUCAUUUAAUGGAACUUGUGCAGAUGUUCCAGUGUCUUUAUGGUUAUUCCUGCACUAUUAUGAGAUUUUUAAAUGAUUUUAAAAAAUAAAUUAUUGUUAAAUGAGAGAAAAUUGGAUGAAAUCAGUGUUUCAGAGAUUAAAAACUAUGUAUUAUAAAUAUACUGUAGCCUGAUGGCUGAAAGGCAUAAUGAGCACUUUAAGAGCAAAUUUAUUUGUGCACUUUUCUUUUAAAUUGCCUUCUAUCCAGAAUUUUGUGUCAGGCCAGAAGCAGAGAGACUACAAUACAUGCUUUAUGGUUUUAAAACAUAUAUAUAUAGUGUGUUAUUGCGGGUAACUUUUACAGCUUAAAUGUAGCUACUGACAAUGAAAUGAUACUGAGAUAAAAGUCACAUUUGGGGGGAGUGGGGAUAUUAUUAUUUUCUAUAAAUCUUCAUAGCCUUGUGUACAGUAACCAUUUGGCAUAAACUACAGAAUAGUGAGAAUUAUGCCAUGUCUAAAAGAAGAGAAGUUAGCAAAGUACAUUCUUCUCUGUGACAAAUGUUUUGGUAUUGUACAAUUGAAUUCUCUAAAGGCAAUUAUGUAGAUUUUAAAAAUCAGAAAAAAUUGGGCAAUUAUCUAUUUUGUGUAUUUUCGCAUACAGAAGGAGUUUUUUAAAUGUGCCAAUAAUCAUCACUGUGCUGUUUUGUAACAAAGUGCUAAUGGUGUUCAGAAGUACUGUAUAUGAAAAUAUUUUAACCACAAGAUUUAUUAGUAAAUAUCAAACACAUUUCCUAAUCUGACUUGCAUCUCUUGGGAUCAAGGCAGUUAAAUUAGUAUAAGAAACUAGUUUCUAAAAAAAACCUUUUGUAUGUAGUAAAUAUGAAUUGUAUUACAUUCAACAACUGGGCAUGUGUAAUUAAAUAAAGCUUUAUAUGUGUAUAUAUAUAAAUACAUAAUGUUGCAGUACAUAUUGGCUUUAGAUACAUUUAUCUAAAUUGGUUUUGACAUUUUAAUUCAUUUUAUGUAACCUACCAAAGGAGGUGAGAAGAUAGCACAAAUCUGCCAACCCUGCCUCAUUAGCACUCAAAACUAUGAGAAUUCUGCUCUGCUCCCUGGAUCACAGCAACACAUAGAAUAAAUUUAUGUUACAGCCCUAAGGAGCAAUCCUAAAAUAGUCUACUUGGAAGCAAGUCCUAUGUUAUUCAAUGGGGCUAAUUUCCAGGAAAUUUUCUUUAGGAUUACAGCCAUAUUAUUUAAAAGUAUCUAAGUGCAUGAUCAGUACUUAGAUACAAUUUUUAAGUUACCUGCAGUUAAGUGUUGGGUCAACAGUUAUUUUGUUUUCCAUUCAAGCAUGCAUUUUCUCUUAAUUGCUUCUCUUCCCCACCCUUUACUCCUGGUAGACUUAAUUAGUGUGCUUCAGAAACAGUUUUCCCUAGAUCAUGAACAGUUUAUCUAGGCUGGCGUUAGAACUCCUACAGUGAUUUCUGUUUUCUCUGUGGUGGCUUUAGACAGACUUGCCUGUAUCAUACUGAAACUCAGAAAAGACAGAGACUCUGUUGGUCUUUAAAAACUCAGUUACGGCUGCAUGUGGCCCCAGUUUGAACUGUGGAGGAGAAGGGCAUUUUGCUCUUGUAGGCCCCUCCCAUACACUACUUUUAAUCCUUUGAAGGAAAAGGGGAUGCUGUGAGUCGGAAGAUUCCCUGCACUUUCUUUAAAGAGUUUUUAAAGAAGUAUUCAGAUCCAUGAUCUUGUCUCCUUUGAGCUUGAAAUAUUGAAGUGACUUGUGAAGAAUACUGCCUCCCACUUCCGCAAUGUAUGUAUGGACCAGUCCCACACCAGCUUGUUUUUACAAUUUUAGCACAUCCUGUUUUGUUUCUCAACCAGCCAAGCCUAUAAUGUAUAAAAGUGGUGUAUAUUUUAUUAAAACAUGGUGAUAUAAAGUUAUAUGUUUUUAUGUUCCAGUUGCUUUACUGGACGUUCAGUCUGUAUGUAAAAAUAAAUAUAUUUAACAAAUUGUCUGACAAUUGUAAAUGAAUGAAUAAAAGUGAGAGCUGAUUACAAA